UACGGAGGAUCCGAGCGUUAUCCGGAUUUAUUGGGUUUAAAGGGUGCGUAGGCGGCCUAUUAAGUCAGGGGUGAAAGACGGUAGCUUAACUAUCGCAGUGCCUUUGAUACUGAUAGGCUUGAAUGUACUUGAGGUAGGCGGAAUGUGACAAGUAGCGGUGAAAUGCAUAGAUAUGUCACAGAACACCAAUUGCGAAGGCAGCUUACUAAAGUAUGAUUGACGCUGAGGCGCGAAAGCGUGGGGAUCAAACAGG
rnacentral:rRNA from 1 species